AGAAUCUACAGGUCGAGCAAGUCUCGUAAAUUUCACGAUUGCGAGCCACGCUUCACGCAACCGUGUUUGCGUACUUGUGUUUCGAGUUGCGUGGUCGUACGGAGUUAUAUUUACCAAAUUUAAAUAUAAUCGUUUUCAAAAUUAAAUCAAUAUGUCAAUAUGGCUACUGGGUGUAAAAGAUAAAUCUUAUUCUAUCUGUUCUUAAUGAGUUUUAGAUAAUUUUAGUUGUAUUUCUUUGUAAUUUUGUGUUGUACAAAGAUUAAUUUAACAUUUUCUCUGGAAGUAUUAAUUUAGAAAGAUAAUAUGCUUCAUUGGUGUUGUGUUUUGAAGUGUGAAAUGUGAUAAAGUCAAGAUAAAGUUCACUUUUAAACUGAACUAAAUAAGGUAUCUGAGAGACAACAAUGGUUAAAUGCAAUACAAUGUACAGGUUUUACUAGCGAAAUGAAAAUUUUCCUGUCCUGUCUGCUGUAAUCAUUUUAUAUCUGGAAAACCAGCCGACUUAAUCGAUAAUAACAAUCUCCAGAUUGGGUUCCUUCAAUAAAUAUGAUCUAUAAACACAAUGAAAUAAGUUCCCCAAAAUCUAAAAUGGAGUGGUAUCAAAGGAGAAUUAAAGGGAAAAAUAUUCAUAUUGAAAUUAUUUAUAAGGCACUGGACUGUCUUAAAUUCUACAAUAAUACUAGAAUCAGCUGAGAGAAGUGGUCUACAAAAAAACCAGGAAGGAAACGGAAUAUGUGGCUACGAAAGGCAAAAGAAAGGUUUACAAAGCAAAUGUGACACAUUUUUUUGAAAUAUUUAGGAAUAUCAGUAAAUUGCAUUAAAAAAAUGUAUGAAAAGAUUUUGUUCAAUAAAAAUGUUUAUAUUUA